GACGAACGCUGGCGGCGUGCCUAAUACAUGCAAGUCGAACGCAGUGGGGACGGGUGAGUAACACGUGGGUAACCUCCCAUCAGAGGGGAUAACACUUGGAAACAGGUGCUAAACCGAUACUGAUGGAUGGCCCCGCGGUGAAUUAGCUAGUUGGUGAGGUAACGGCUCACCCAGGCCACGAUGCAUAGCCGACCGGAGAGGGGUAUCGGCAAAACGGGGACUGAGAUACGGCCAAGACUCCUACGGGAGGUAGCAGUAGGGAAUCUUCGGCAAGGGACGAAAGGCUGACCGAGCAACGCCGCGGGAGUGAAAAAGGUUUUCGGAUCGUAAAACUUUUUGGUUAGAGAAGCGGUAUCUAACCAGAAAGCCACGGCUAACUACGUGCCAGCAGCCGCGGUAAUUC
rnacentral:rRNA from 1 species